rnacentral:rRNA from 1 species
AUUGAACGCUGGCGGCACGCUUUACACAUGCAAGUCGAGCGGUCAAAAUGAGGGGCUUGCCCCCGAAAGACGAGCGGCGCACGGGUGAGUAACGCGUGGGAACCUACCUUUUAGUACGGGACAACGUUUGGAAACGAACGCUAAUACCGUAUACGCCCUCCGGGGGAAAGGUCUGCCGCUAAAAAGAGGGGCCCGCGUCUGAUUAGCUUGUUGGCGGGGUAAACGGCCCACCAAGGCGACGAUCGGUAGCUGGUCUGAGAGGAUGAUCAGCCACACCGGGACUGAGACACGGCCCGGACUCCUACGGGAGGCAGCAGUGGGGAAUAUUGGACAAUGGGGGCAACCCUGAUCCAGCGAUGCCGCGUGAGUGAAGAAGGCC